CACCGCGGUUAGACGAAUGGCUCAAGUUGACAAAAUACGGCGUAAAGAGUGGUUAGGGAAUACUAAAACUAAAGCUGAAUACCUUCCAAGCUGUUAUACGCUUAUGAAGCGAAUGAAGCCCAACUACGAAAGUGGCUUUAUUACACCUGAACCCACGAAAGCUAAGAAA
rnacentral:rRNA from 1 species